rnacentral:tRNA from 1 species
AGAUUCAAUGUGAAAUGGGCAGCACUCAGGGCUCUGAAUCCUGUAACCUGAGUUCAGAUCUGAGUGGGACUU